UACGGAGGAUGCAAGCGUUAUCCGGAAUUAUUGGGCGUAAAGCGUCCGUAGGUGGUUAUACAAGUCUGCUGUUAAAGCGUGCGGCUUAACCGCAUAUCAGCAGUGGAAACUGUAUGACUAGAGUGCGGUAGGGGUCAGGGGAAUUCCCAGUGUAGCGGUGAAAUGCGUAGAUAUUGGGAAGAACACCGGUGGCGAAAGCGCCUGACUGGACCUGCACUGACACUGAGGGACGAAAGCUAGGGGAGCGAAA
rnacentral:rRNA from 1 species